CCAGACCAUAAGCUGAUGCAGAGGAAACAUAGAUAACUCAGGAGAGGGAAGACCCGGAAGUGGACAAGGUCAUCCAAGAGGUGGGACCAGGCUGAUGGACAUUAGCUUUUCCAUCUAUGGAAAACAAUACGACAGGGUGUGCAGGGCCAACGUCAACAUGAAUCAUCUACGCCACAGGCUUGUACGACAAGGAGGGAAAAGAUGGAGGAGC